rnacentral:ribozyme from 1 species
GUACAAAUAUACAAAAGCAAAAUGAAAAAUACAAAAUGAAAAAUUGAAAAACUCAAAAUUGAUGUCCACUA